rnacentral:lncRNA from 1 species
AUGUCACACCGUCUGCCCGUGUCCUGCCCCGUCUUCUGCCCCAUCAGCCCGUCUCCUGCCCGUCUGCCCGUCUCCUGCCUCGUCUGCCCGUCUUCUGCCCCAUCAGCCCGUCUUCUGCCCGUCUUCUGCCCGUCUCCUGCCCGUCUCCUGCCCCAUCUGCCCGUCUCCUGCCCCGUCUGCCCGUCUUCUGCCCCAUCAGCCUGUCUCCUGCCCAUCUUCUGCCACCAUCAGCCCGUCUCCUGCCCGUCUCCUGUUCCAUCAGCCCGUCUCCUGCCCCAUCAGCCCGUCUUCUGCCCGUCUCCUGCCCGUCUUCUGCCCCGUCUGCCUGUCUCCUGCCCGUCUGCCCGUCUCCUGCCUCGUCUGCCCGUCUUCUGCCCCAUCAGCCCGUCUUCUGCCCGUCUCCUGCCCGUCUCCUGCCCCAUCUGCCCGUCUCCUGCCCCGUCUGCCUGUCUUCUGCCCCAUCAGCCUGUCUCCUGCCCAUCUUCUGCCCCAUCAGCCCGUCUCCUGCCCAUCUUCUGCCACCAUCAGCCCGUCUCCUGCCCGUCUCCUGUUCCAUCAGCCCGUCUCCUGUCCCAUCAGCCCGUCUCCUGCCCCAUCAGCCCGUCUUCUGCCCGUCUUCUGCCCCAUCAGCCCGUCUCCUGCCCGUCUCCUGCCCCGUCUGCCCGUCUUCUGCCCCGUCUGCCUGUCUCCUGCCCCGUCUCCUGUCCCAUCAGCCCGUCUCCUGCCCCGUCUGCCCGUCUUCUGCCCCAUCAGCCUGUCUCCUGCCCGUCUUCUGCCCCAUCAGCCCGUCUCCUGCCCGUCUUCUGCCACCAUCAGCCCGUCUCCUUCCCGUCUCCUGUUCCAUCAGCCCGUCUCCUGCCCGUCUCCUGUUCCAUCAGCCCGUCUCCUGUCCCAUCAGCCCGUCUCCUGCCCCAUCAGCCCAUCUUCUGCCCGUCUCCUGCCCGUCUUCUGCCCCAUCAGCCCGUCUCCUGCCCGUCUCCUGCCCCGUCUGCCCGUCUCCUGCCCCAUCUGCCCGUCUUCUGCCCGUCUCCUGCCCGUCUAUUGCCCUAUCAGCCCGUCUCCUGCCCCGUCUGCCCGUCUCCUAUCUCGUCUGCCUGUCUUCUGCCCCAUCAGCCCGUCUCCUGCCCGUCUUCUGCCCCAUCAGCCCGUCUCCUGCCCGUCUCCUGUACCAUCAGCCCGUCUCCUGCCCCAUCAGCCCGUCUUCUGCCCGUCUCCUGCCCGUCUUCUGCCCCAUCAGCCCGUCUUCUGCCCGUCUUCUGCCCCAUCAGCCCGUCUCCUGCCCGUCUCCUGCCCCAUCAGCCUGUCUUCUGCCCGUCUCCUGCCCGUCUCCUGCCUCGUCUGCCCGUCUCCUGCCCCAUCAGCCCGUCUCCUGCCCCGUCUGCCCGUUUCCUGCUCCAUCAAUCAGUCUCCUGCCCGUCUUCUGCCCCAUCAGCCCGUCUCCUGCCCAUCUCCUGCCCCGUCUGCCCGUCUUCUGCCCCGUCUGCCUGUCUCCUGCCCCGUCUCCUGUCCCAUCAGCCCGUCUCCUGCCCCGUCUGCCCGUCUUCUGCCCCAUCAGCCUGUCUCCUGCCCGUCUUCUGCCCCAUCAGCCCGUCUCCUGCCCGUCUUCUGCCACCAUCAGCCCGUCUCCUGCCCGUCUCCUGUUCCAUCAGCCCGUCUCCUGCCCGUCUCCUGUUCCAUCAGCCCGUCUCCUGCCCCAUCAGCCCGUCUUCUGCCCGUCUCCUGCCCGUCUUCUGCCCCAUCAGCCCGUCUCCUGCCCGUCUCCUGCCCCGUCUGCCCGUCUCCUGCCCCAUCUGCCCGUCUUCUGCCCGUCUCCUGCCCGUCUAUUGCCCUAUCAGCCCGUCUCCUGCCCCGUCUGCCCGUCUCCUAUCUCGUCUGCCCGUCUUCUGCCCCAUCAGCCCGUCUCCUGCCCGUCUCCUGCCCGUCUCCUGUUCCAUCAGCCCGUCUCCUGUCCCAUCAGCCCGUCUCCUGCCCCAUCAGCCCGUCUUCUGCCCGUCUCCUGCCCGUCUUCUGCCCCAUCAGCCCGUCUCCUGCCCAUCUCCUGCCCCAUCUGCCCGUCUUCUGCCCCGUCUGCCUGUCUCCUGCCCCGUCUCCUGUCCCAUCAGCCCGUCUCCUGCCCCGUCUGCCCGUCUUCUGCCCCAUCAGCCUGUCUCCUGCCCGUCUUCUGCCACCAUCAGCCCGUCUCCUGCCCGUCUUCUGCCACCAUCAGCCCGUCUCCUGCCCGUCUCCUGUUCCAUCAGCCCGUCUCCUGCCCGUCUCCUGUUCCAUCAGCCCAUCUCCUGCCCGUCUCCUGUUCCAUCAGCCCGUCUCCUGUCCCAUCAGCCCGUCUCCUGCCCCAUCAGCCCAUCUUCUGCCUGUCUCCUGCCCGUCUUCUGCCCCAUCAGCCCGUCUCCUGCCCGUCUCCUGCCCCGUCUGCCCGUCUCCUGCCCCAUCUGCCCGUCUUCUGCCCGUCUCCUGCCCGUCUAUUGCCCUAUCAGCCCGUCUCCUGCCUGUCUCCUGCCCCGUCUGCCCGUCUCCUGCCCCAUCUGCCCGUCUUCUGCCCGUCUCCUGCCCGUCUAUUGCCCUAUCAGCCCGUCUCCUGCCUGUCUCCUGCCCCGUCUGCCCGUCUCCUAUCUCGUCUGCCCGUCUUCUGCCCCAUCAGCCUGUCUUCUGCCCGUUUUCUGCCCCAUCAGCCUGUCUUCUGCCCGUCUUCUGCCCCAUCAGCCUGUCUUCUGCCCGUCUUCUGCCCCAUUAGCCCGUCUCCUGCCCGUCUCCUGCCCGUCUAUUGCCCGUCUCCUGCCCCAUCAAUCAGUCUCCUGCCCCGUCUGCCCGUCUCCUGCCCGUCUCCUGUUCCAUCAGCCCGUCUCCUGCCCGUCUCCUGUUCCAUCAGCCCGUCUCCUGUCCCAUCAGCCCGUCUCCUGCCCCAUCAGCCCGUCUUCUGCCCGUCUCCUGCCCGUCUUCUGCCCCAUCAGCCCGUCUCCUGCCCGUCUUCUGCCCCAUCAGCCCGUCUCCUGCCCGUCUUCUGCCACCAUCAGCCCGUCUCCUUCCCGUCUCCUGUUCCAUCAGCCCGUCUCCUGCCCGUCCCCUGUUCCAUCAGCCCGUCUCCUGUCCCAUCAGCCCGUCUCCUGCCCCAUCAGCCCAUCUUCUGCCCGUCUCCUGCUCGUCUUCUGCCCUAUCAGCCCGUCUCCUGCCCGUCUCCUGCCCCAUCUGCCCGUCUUCUGCCCGUCUCCUGCCCGUCUAUUGCCCUAUCAGCCCGUCUCCUGCCCCGUCUGCCCGUCUCCUAUCUCGUCUGCCUGUCUUCUGCCCCAUCAGCCCGUCUCCUGCCCGUCUUCUGCCCCAUCAGCCCGUCUCCUGCCCGUCUCCUGUACCAUCAGCCCGUCUCCUGCCCCAUCAGCCCGUCUUCUGCCCGUCUCCUGCCCGUCUUCUGCCCCAUCAGCCCGUCUUCUGCCCGUCUUCUGCCCCAUCAGCCCGUCUCCUGCCCGUCUCCUGCCCCAUCAGCCUGUCUCCUGCCUCGUCUGCCCGUCUCCUGCCCCAUCAGCCCGUCUCCUGCCCCGUCUGCCCGUUUCCUGCUCCAUCAAUCAGUCUCCUGCCCGUCUUCUGCCCCAUCAGCCCGUCUCCUGCCCAUCUCCUGCCCCGUCUGCCCGUCUUCUGCCCCGUCUGCCUGUCUCCUGCCCCGUCUCCUGUCCCAUCAGCCCGUCUCCUGCCCCAUCUGCCCGUCUUCUGCCCCAUCAGCCUGUCUCCUGCCCGUCUUCUGCCCCAUCAGCCCGUCUCCUGCCCGUCUUCUGCCACCAUCAGCCCGUCUCCUGCCCGUCUCCUGUUCCAUCAGCCCGUCUCCUGCCCGUCUCCUGUUCCAUCAGCCCGUCUCCUGUCCCAUCAGCCCGUCUCCUGCCCCAUCAGCCCGUCUUCUGCCCGUCUCCUGCCCGUCUUCUGCCCCAUCAGCCCAUCAGCCUGUCUCCUGCCCGUCUUCUGCCACCAUCAGCCCGUCUCCUGCCCGUCUCCUGUUCCAUCAGCCCGUCUCCUGCCCGUCUCCUGUUCCAUCAGCCCAUCUCCUGCCCGUCUCCUGUUCCAUCAGCCCGUCUCCUGUCCCAUCAGCCCGUCUCCUGCCCCAUCAGCCCGUCUUCUGUCUGUCUCCUGCCCGUCUUCUGCCCCAUCAGCCCGUCUCCUGCCCGUCUCCUGCCCCGUCUGCCCGUCUCCUGCCCCAUCUGCCCGUCUUCUGCCCGUCUCCUGCCCGUCUAUUGCCCUAUCAGCCCGUCUCCUGCCUGUCUCCUGCCCCGUCUGCCCGUCUCCUGCCCCAUCUGCCCGUCUUCUGCCCGUCUCCUGCCCGUCUAUUGCCCUAUCAGCCCGUCUCCUGCCUGUCUCCUGCCCCGUCUGCCCGUCUCCUAUCUCGUCUGCCCGUCUUCUGCCCCAUCAGCCUGUCUUCUGCCCGUCUUCUGCCCCAUUAGCCCGUCUCCUGCCCGUCUCCUGCCCGUCUAUUGCCCGUCUCCUGCCCCAUCAAUCAGUCUCCUGCCCCGUCUGCCCGUCUCCUGCCCUUUCAACCUUCUUCACUCCGUCCCUCCACUCCAUCUCAGCCGUAUCUGUCUUUUUCCAUUUGCACUCCUCCAUCUGCCCUCUUCUAAUCCCUCUCAGCGCCAGCUCAGAUCUGACAUUUGGUUUCAUGCUGCAAGCAGCAGGACAGAUAGAAAGUCAGAUAAAGGGAGCAGCACGGAAGGGGACGGGACAGACAGCCGGUACUGGUAG